rnacentral:rRNA from 1 species
UUAGGUGAAUUUGAUGGUCGUAAGGAAGUCAAAUAGACCUGAGCACUUAGAGGAAGGAGAAGUCGUAACAAGGUUUCCGUAGGU